rnacentral:rRNA from 1 species
UACGUAGGGGGCAAGCGUUGUCCGGAUUUACUGGGCGUAAAGAGCGCGUAGGCGGCCAUACAGGUCCGUUGUGAAAACUGGAGGCUUAACCUCCAGACGUCGAUGGAAACCGUAUGGCUAGAGUCCGGAAGAGGAGAGUGGAAUUCCUGGUGUAGCGGUGAAAUGCGCAGAUAUCAGGAAGAACACCCGUGGCGAAGGCGGCUCUCUGGGACGGUACUGACGCUGAGACGCGAAAGCGUGGGGAGCGAACAGG